UGCAAGUCGAACGGUGAAGGAGAGCUUGCUCUCUGGAUCAGUGGCGAACGGGUGAGUAACACGUGAGCAAUCUGCCCCUGACUCUGGGAUAACAGUUGGAAACAGCUGCUAAUACCGGAUACGAGCUUCGAAGGCAUCUUCAGAAGCUGGAAAGAACUUCGGUCAGGGAUGAGCUCGCGGCCUAUCAGCUAGUUGGUGAGGUAAUGGCUCACCAAGGCGUCGACGGGUAGCCGGCCUGAGAGGGUGACCGGCCACACUGGGACUGAGACACGGCCCAGACUCCUACGGGAGGCAGCAGUGGGGAAUAUUGCACAAUGGGCGCAAGCCUGAUGCAGCAACGCCGCGUGAGGGACGACGGCCUUCGGGUUGUAAACCUCUUUUAGCAGGGAAGAAGCGAAAGUGACGGUACCUGCAGAAAAAGCGCCGGCUAACUACGUGCCAGCAGCCGCGGUAAUACGUAGGGCGCAAGCGUUAUCCGGAAUUAUUGGGCGUAAAGAGCUCGUAGGCGGUUUGUCGCGUCUGCUGUGAAAACUGGAGGCUCAACCUCCAGCCUGCAGUGGGUACGGGCAGACUAGAGUGCGGUAGGGGAGAUUGGAAUUCCUGGUGUAGCGGUGGAAUGCGCAGAUAUCAGGAGGAACACCGAUGGCGAAGGCAGAUCUCUGGGCCGUAACUGACGCUGAGGAGCGAAAGGGUGGGGAGCAAACAGGCUUAGAUACCCU
rnacentral:rRNA from 1 species